GUCCACGCCGUAAACGAUGAUGACUAGCUGUCGGGGCGCUUAGCGUUUCGGUGGCGCAGCUAACGCGUUAAGUCAUCCGCCUGGGGAGUACGGCCGCAAGGUUAAAACUCAAAGAAAUUGACGGGGGCCUGCACAAGCGGUGGAGCAUGUGGUUUAAUUCGAAGCAACGCGCAGAACCUUACCAGCGUUUGACAUGGUAGGACGGUUUCCAGAGAUGGAUUCCUUCCCUUACGGGACCUACACACAGGUGCUGCAUGGCUGUCGU
rnacentral:rRNA from 1 species